CAGAGGGUGGUUUAAUUUAGAAUUCUAGCUUUGGGAGCUAGUGGUGGGAGUUAAAAUCUCUUCCCUCUG
rnacentral:tRNA from 1 species